GGUGGAAUGCGUAGAUAUUAUGAAGAAUACCAGUGGCGAAGGCGGCCUCCUGGAUCUGUACUGACACUGAGGUGCGAAAGCGUGGGUAGCGAACAGGAUUAGAUACCCUGGUAGUCCACGCCGUAAACGAUGACAACUAGCUGUUGGGAGACAAUGUCUUUCAGUGGCGCAGCUAACGUUUUAAGUUGUCCGCCUGGGGAGUACGGCCGCAAGGCUAAAACUCAAAUGAAUUGACGGGGACCCGCACAAGCGGUGGAGCAUGUGGUUUAAUUCGAUGCAACGCGAAAAACCUUACCUACUCUUGACAUACUUGGAAGCUCUUGUAAUGAGAGUGUGCUUUUAGAGCCAAGAUACAGGUGCUGCAUGGCUGUCGUCAGCUCGUGUCGUGAGAUGUUGGGUUAAGUCCCAUAACGAGCGCAACCCUUACCCUUAUUUGCCAGCGGUUCGGCCGGGAACUAUAAGGGGACUGCCGGUGACAAACCGGAGGAAGGUGAGGACGACGUCAAGUCAUCAUGGCCCUUACGAGUAGGGCUACACACGUGCUACAAUGGGGAAUACAGACGGACGCUAAAGCGUGAGCUGGUGCUAAUCCUAAAAAAUUUCUCGUAGUCCGGAUUGCAGUCUGCAACUCGACUGCAUGAAGUCGGAAUCGCUAGUAAUCGCGAAUCAGCAUGUCGCGGUGAAUACGUUCUCG
rnacentral:rRNA from 1 species